rnacentral:tRNA from 2 species
GGAGAGGUCGCCUAGUGGACUAUGGCGCCGCACUGGAAAUGCGGUUCGGGGCAACCCGUCGCGGGUUCGAAUCCCGCCCUCUCCGCCA